GCGUCAAAACUUACUGAUAUAAGAACUCACUGAUCAAAAACUCGUGACACACCUUUGACAUUUCAUCGGAGCAUAUCCUCUGAAUCGAAGUCGAACACAACCCUGACGUUGACGAAUACUAAUGAUGACAUGUCAUUAUAAUUACUCCUUCAUUCAGGUAAUUGCAUUCUUGGUCUCGAAAUCGAAGGCAGUCAGAGGAUCAGAGGCGACAGUCUUCAGGCAUGUGCAAUUUUUGGGAUGGACAAUAGAUUCGAGCAACAGCGAAACCACUUGUCAAAUUUAUUUGAAUAUAGAUGCAACGUCUGGUUGGAAAAUGCAGAAUUGGUAUGCAGAAUUUCCCAGGUGAUUGAUGACACUGUUUGUUGGCAGCUAAGGUGAUUAAUUAGUUCAUGAGGAAAUUGGAGGAAUAAGAGAGAGUUGAUGACAGUUAGCAAUGGGUUGGAUCAAUUAUAAUACCUUCUAGUUUCAUCAGUCCAGUGAAAGAACGUAUUGCUAUUGACACAAUUGCUGAAAACUCACUAAUUGAAAACUCGUGACACACCUUUGACGUUUCAUCGGAGCAUAGCCUCUAAAUCUAAGUCAAACACAACCCUGACGUUUACGAAUACUAGUGACGCCAUGUAAUUGUAAAUAUUCCUUUAUUCAGGUAAUUGCAUUCUUGGUCUCGAAAUCGAAGGCAGUCAGAGGAUCAGAGGCGACAGUCUUCAGGCAUGUGCAAUUUUUGGGAUGGACAAUAGAUUCGAGCAACAGCGAAACUACUUGUCAAAUUUAUUUGAAUAUAGAUGCAACGUCUGGUUGGAAAAUGCAG
rnacentral:misc_RNA from 1 species